AAAAUCCGGAAAAUCAAGGCUGAGGCGUGAUGACGAGGCACUACGGUGCUGAAGCAACAAAUGCCCUGCUUCCAGGAAAAGCCUCUAAGCAUCAGGUAACAUCAAAUCGUACCCCAAACCGACACAGGUGGUCAGGUAGAGAGUACCAAGGCGCUUGAGAGAACUCGGGUGAAGGAACUAGGCAAAAUGGUGCCGUAACUUCGGGAGAAGGCACGCUGAUAUGUAGGUGAAGCGACUUGCUCGUGGAGCUGAAAUCAGUCGAAGAUACCAGCUGGCUGCAACUGUUUAUUAAAAACACAGCACUGUGCAAACACGAAAGUGGACGUAUACGGCGUGACGUCUGCCCGGUGCCGGAAGGUUAAUUGAUGGGGUCAGCGCAAGCGAAGCUCUUGAUCGAAGCCCCGGUAAACGGCGGCCGUAACGAUAACGGUCCUAAGGUAGCGAAAUUCCUUGUCGGGUAAGUUCCGACCUGCACGAAUGGCGUAAUGAUGGCCAGGCUGUCUCCACCCGAGACUCAGUGAAAUUGAACUCGCUGUGAAGAUGCAGUGUACCCGCGCCAAGACGGAAAGACCCCGUGAACCUUUACUAUAGCUUGACACUGAACAUUGAGCCUUGAUGUGUAGGAUAGGUGGGAGGCUUUGAAGUGUGGACGCCAGUCUGCAUGGAGCCGACCUUGAAAUACCACCCUUUAAUGUUUGAUGUUCUAACGUGGACCCGUGAUCCGGGUUGCGGACAGUGUCUGGUGGGUAGUUUGACUGGGGCGGUCUCCUCCUAAAGAGUAACGGAGGAGCACGAAGGUUGGCUAAUCCUGGUCGGACAUCAGGAGGUUAGUGCAAUGGCAUAAGCCAGCUUGACUGCUAGCGUGACGGCGCGAGCAGGUGCGAAAGCAGGUCAUAGUGAUCCGGUGGUUCUGAAUGGAAGGGCCAUCGCUCAACGGAUAAAAGGUACUCCGGGGAUAACAGGCUGAUACCGCCCAAGAGUUCAUAUCGACGGCGGUGUUUGGCACCUCGAUGUCGGCUCAUCACAUCCUGGAGCUGAAGUAGGUCCCAAGGGUAUGGCUGUUCGCCAUUUAAAGUGGUACGCGAGCUGGGUUUAGAACGUCGUGAGACAGUUCGGUCCCUAUCUGCCGUGGGCGCUGAGAACUGAGGGGGGCUGCUCCUAGUACGAGAGGACCGGAGUGGACGCAUCACUGGUGCUCGGGUUGUCAUGCCAGUGGCACUGCCCGGUAGCUAAGUGCGGAAGAGAUAAGUGCUGAAAGCAUCUAAGCACGAAACUUGCCCCGAGAUGAGUUCUCCCUGACUCCUUGAGAGUCCUGAAGGAACGUUGAAGACGACGACGUUGAUAGGCCGGGUGUGUAAGCGCAGCGAUGCGUUGAGCUAACCGGUACUAAUGAACCGUGAGGCUUAACCU
rnacentral:rRNA from 1 species